rnacentral:rRNA from 1 species
UACAGAGGGGGCAAGCGUUGUUCGGAAUUACUGGGCGUAAAGGGCGCGUAGGCGGCCCGCUAAGUCGAACGUGAAAUCCCCGGGCUUAACCCGGGAACUGCGUCCGAUACUGGCAGGCUUGAAUCCGGGAGAGGGAUGUGGAAUUCCAGGUGUAGCGGUGAAAUGCGUAGAUAUCAGGAGGAACACCGAUGGCGAAGGCAGGUCUCUGGGCCACUACUGACGCUGAGAAGCGAAAGCAUGGGGAGCGAACAGG